UUACGUACCUUGUGCAGGGCGAACGCUGAUCAACAAGGGCGCGCCCCGAGAAGAGGCUUCUCGCUGACUCUCGCCAUUUUCCCGAACUGGGAUAAUGAGGCACAUAAUUUUUGGUAGCGGGGGUGGGACAACUCCCACCCCCA
rnacentral:snRNA from 1 species